UCUAAAAUCAGGUCUAAACUCAAAUCUAAAAGUAAACUUUAAGUAAGGUCUCAACUCAGAUCUAAAACUUAAACUUUAAGUGAGGUAUAAAGUUUCUCAUCUUUCUGCACUAAGCACUAAAGUUAGGUGUAAACGCUUCGGUUGGCCGCAGCAGGGGUAAAUGGCUGGUGGGAAACGCGCGCGACCGUCUUACGUACGUACGUACUCGUGCGCGAUAAGCCUUCAUCUUUCUGCCCUGAGCACUAAAAUUAGGUGUCAACUCAGCUGUCUGCACUAAGCACUAAAGUUAGGUAUAAACUCAAAUCCUCACCUAAACUUAAAUUAGGUAUAAACUCAAAUCUAAAAUUAGGUCUAAACUCAAAUCUAAAAGUAAACCUUAAGUAAGGUCUCAACUCAGAUCUAAAACUUAAACUUUAAGUGAGGUAUAAAGUUUCUCAUCUUUCUGCACUAAGCACUAAAGUUAAGUGUAAACGCUUCGGUUGGCCGCAGCAGGGGUAAAUGGCUGGUGGGAAACGCGCACGUCCGUCCUA